rnacentral:lncRNA from 12 species
GAUGUCUCCCCCCGCCCCGCCUCCCCCCUGCACCCGUUUGCGGCCGCGCCGCCGCCUCCCUCCCGAGCGGCCGCCGCGUCCCGGGCGCGCGCCGGAGCCUCCUCCGCCGCCGCCGCCGCCGCCGCCGCCGCCGCCGCCGCCGCCGCAGCCCGAGGCGGGAGGGUGCGGGCGCCCCGUGCGCACAGCGCGGCGCUCCUGCUCCCCGGUGGCCGCCCGCGGACCCGCCGCCCUUCCUCGAGAGCAAGCGAGGGCGGGCGAAGCCGGCGCAGACGCCGCCCGGGACGGCGGCCCUUCCCCGCGCGCGCAACGCACUUGUCUGCGGCGGCGGCAGCGACACACGGACGCGGCGGCUGAGCCGGAGCGGGAGCCGCAGCGGGAGCGCGGCGGGGAGCGCGGGGAGCGCGCGGAGCGCCGGCCGGUGUCCCCCGAGACUGGCCUGGGCGCGCCAGGCGGACUCCUGGGGAGCGCACGCUCGGGCCCCGCGGGAAGGCGCCCUCGCCCGCACCCUCACCACGCGGGCCGGCCCCGACGACCGCCGCUCCAGCCUGCAGCCCGGAGCCUGGAGCCCGGAGCCCGGAGCCCGGAGCCCGCGGCGGAUGGUGGGACUCUCCAGCCCGGCGCCGCAAAAGAUUGAUCUCUGGGCUGGUGAACAUAAUAUCUGUCCCAGUCAGAAAAGGAGAGAGGAAAUUAGCAGAGCGAUUGGUGGAGAAUGAUAUCUGUCAAAAGAAACACUUGGAGAGCACUGAGUUUAGUAAUAGGUGACUGCCGGAAAAAAGGGAACUUUGAAUAUUGUCAAGGCGCACGCGCCCAGCACCCUGCCUCGGGCUAUGCCGCCCCAGCCCCUUCUGACGGCCCUCCUCUCUCUGCCGCCGCUCAUUCCAGAACAGGAGGCAUGAGCCCCGAUCGCGCUGGAUUUUAGGAGAGAGUCCCUUUCCGGGUGGACGCUGGAUUCAAGGAUGCCUGAUCGGACUGAGAAGCACUCCACGAUGCCAGACUCACCUGUGGAUGUGAAGACCCCGUCUAGGCUGACUCCUCCUACCAUGCCACCUCCCCCCACAACUCAAGGAGCUCCGAGAACGAGUUCAUUUACACCGACGACUUUAACUAAUGGCACGAGCCAUUCACCCACAGCCUUGAAUGGCGCCCCCUCGCCGCCCAAUGGCUUUAGCAAUGGGCCUUCCUCUUCUUCCUCCUCUUCUCUGGCUAAUCAACAGCUGCCCCCAGCCUGUGGCGCCAGGCAGCUCAGUAAGCUGAAACGGUUCCUUACUACCCUGCAGCAGUUUGGCAAUGACAUUUCUCCAGAGAUAGGAGAGAGAGUCCGCACCCUCGUACUAGGACUGGUGAACUCUACUUUGACAAUUGAAGAAUUUCAUUCCAAACUGCAAGAAGCUACUAACUUCCCACUGCGACCUUUUGUCAUCCCAUUUCUGAAGGCCAACCUGCCCCUGCUGCAGCGCGAGCUCCUCCACUGCGCAAGGCUGGCCAAACAGAACCCUGCCCAGUACCUCGCCCAGCAUGAACAGCUGCUUCUGGAUGCCAGCACCACCUCACCUGUUGACUCCUCAGAGCUGCUUCUCGAUGUGAACGAAAACGGGAAGAGGCGAACUCCAGACAGAACCAAAGAAAAUGGCUUUGACAGAGAGCCUUUGCACUCAGAACAUCCAAGCAAGCGACCAUGCACUAUUAGCCCAGGCCAGCGGUACAGUCCAAAUAACGGCUUAUCCUACCAGCCCAAUGGCCUGCCUCACCCCACCCCACCUCCACCUCAGCAUUACCGUUUGGAUGAUAUGGCCAUUGCCCACCACUACAGGGACUCCUAUCGACACCCCAGCCACAGGGACCUCAGGGACAGAAACAGACCUAUGGGGUUGCAUGGCACACGUCAAGAAGAAAUGAUUGAUCACAGACUAACAGACAGAGAAUGGGCAGAGGAAUGGAAACAUCUUGACCAUCUGCUGAACUGCAUCAUGGACAUGGUGGAGAAGACGCGGCGCUCCCUCACGGUGCUGCGGCGCUGCCAGGAGGCCGACCGCGAGGAGCUCAAUUACUGGAUCCGGCGCUACAGCGACGCCGAGGACCUGAAGAAAGGCGGCGGCGGUGGCGGCGGCCACUCCAGACAGCAGAGUCCGGUCAACCCGGACCCGGUUGCACUAGAUGCGCAUCGGGAAUUCCUUCACAGGCCUGCUUCUGGAUACGUGCCAGAGGAGAUCUGGAAGAAAGCUGAGGAGGCGGUCAACGAGGUGAAGCGCCAGGCGAUGACCGAGCUGCAGAAGGCCGUGUCCGAGGCCGAGCGGAAGGCCCACGACAUGAUCACCACCGAGCGCGCCAAGAUGGAGCGCACGGUGGCCGAGGCCAAGCGGCAGGCGGCGGAGGAUGCGCUGGCCGUCAUCAACCAGCAGGAGGAUUCGAGCGAGAGUUGCUGGAACUGCGGCCGCAAAGCUAGCGAGACGUGCAGCGGCUGUAACACGGCCCGGUACUGUGGCUCAUUUUGCCAGCACAAGGACUGGGAGAAGCACCACCACAUCUGCGGCCAGACCCUGCAGGCCCAGCAGCAGGGGGACACGCCCGCUGUCAGCUCCUCCGUCACGCCCAACAGCGGGGCCGGCAGCCCCAUGGACACACCACCAGCAGCCACCCCGAGGUCGACCACCCCGGGGACCCCCUCUACCAUAGAGACAACCCCUCGCUAG